GGCAGAUAACAAAUGCUAACCAAUUCCACAAUCCUUUGCCCCCCAAACCAUUCUAGUGACAGAACUACUGGAUAACCCAUUUCUUCUUGUCCCAUUCCAUCACAGGUGAGAUUCCUAGGCAUUGUGAUGCAGACCAGGGAUUACCACCAUCCUGCUUAUCCUAGCAAUAAGGAGUGUGUCCAUGCCUUGCAACAGGAUGCCUUACACAGAUGAGUAAAUCACAGUACACAAUAAAUUUUAUGGCUGAAGAAAUUAUUUCUGCGGAAAUCUCCCUCUAACAGGACCCAGCCUCUACAUAGGACAUGUCUGGGAAAGAGCAAGAGAACUGGCCAAAACUCAAGAUGAGUCAUAGACCUUCUGCUGCAACAUGGAAAGAGAGGGAGAGAGACCCAAAAGGGAGAAGAGUUGGCUCUCAGUAGCUUUCCAUUCGGCUGGAAAAGGAACAGCUCUGGUUGCUACAACUAUGGUUGCUCCUUCUUGCUAUUUAUGGAUGGGGUGGCUGUUACUGCAGUCCACUAGUGCCCCCUAUUGUCCCCUUCAGGAAACUCACAGGGCAGCAUGAACGGCUAAACCUGGGCAUUCCUAUCACUUGUGCUAACAUUAGCCUGAUGAGCAAGAGAGCUGGAACCUGGGACCCCGAGCCCGGAGACCCUUCUGCUUCCGCUGGAGGCUCAGAGAACUCUACAUCCUCCAACCACAUCACCUGCUGGAGGUAGUCCCAACUUUGUCUUUUUCAAAAUGACAAAAGGAUUUUGUGGACAGUGAAACUAUUCUGUAUGAUACUACAAUAGCAGCUACAUGCCAUGCUACAUUUGUCGAAACUCAUGGAAUGUGCACCACACCAAGAGUGAACCCUAAUGGAUACUACAGACUAUGGUGUAAUGAUGUAUCAAGAAUUUAAACCCCUCUGGAGGGCUCAUCCACCAGAUCCACUGGAACCUGAGGGAUGAGAAUGUCGACCUUUUCUGAUCCUCCUGACAUCAACUGACUAAAGCUUGGACAUUGUCGACCUUUGCCCCAAUUCUAUGCUGAAUUCUCCUCUGUUCAAGCCCCUUCAUGAGUACUCAGGUAA